rnacentral:tRNA from 1 species
CCCUGGUGGCUCAGAGGGUAAAGCAUCUGCCUGCAAUGCGGGAGACCCAGGUUGGAUCCCUGGGUCAGGGA